rnacentral:rRNA from 1 species
GACGAACGCUGGCGGCGUGCUUAACACAUGCAAGUCGAACGAAAAGGCCCUGCUUUUGUGGGGUGCUCGAGUGGCGAACGGGUGAGUAACACGUGAGUAACCUGCCCUUGACUUUGGGAUAACUUCAGGAAACUGGGGCUAAUACCGGAUAGGAGCUCCUGCUGCAUGGUGGGGUUGGAAAGUUUCGGCGGUUGGGGAUGGACUCGCGGCUUAUCAGCUUGUUGGUGGGGUAGUGGCUUACCAAGGCUUUGACGGGUAGCCGGCCUGAGAGGGUGACCGGCCACAUUGGGACUGAGAUACGGCCCAGACUCCUACGGGAGGCAGCAGUGGGGAAUAUUGCACAAUGGGCGGAAGCCUGAUGCAGCAACGCCGCGUGCGGGAUGACGGCCUUCGGGUUGUAAACCGCUUUCGCCUGUGACGAAGCGUGAGUGACGGUAAUGGGUAAAGAAGCACCGGCUAACUACGUG